UUUUCAACGUUUGACCUCGGAUCAGGUAGGGAUACCCGCUGAACUUAAGCAUAUCA
rnacentral:rRNA from 1 species